rnacentral:sRNA from 1 species
CGUCCUCGAUCUGCUGCGGGCAGAUGUAGUGGAUGCGGCUGUCAACGCCCCCGGCGGUCAGGAUCCUGCCCUCAUCGGCGAUAGCCUCGGUCCCCAGGCCGACGAUGAUGUCUUCACCGGGCUGAGUGUCGGGGUUGCCAGCCUUGCCGAUCUUGUGGAUGCGGCCAUCGCGCAGGCCCACGUCCGCCUUUCAGAUGCCGGUAUGGUCGAGGAUCAGCGCGUUGGUGAUGACGGUGUCCACCGCGCCCCCGGCCCGCGUGGUCUGCGCCUGCCCCAUGCCAUCGCCG